UCCCUGAUAGCUCAGUUGGUAAAGAAUCUGCCUGCAAUGCAGGAGACCCUGAUUCGAUUCCUGGGUUGGGAA
rnacentral:tRNA from 1 species